UUUCGUAGUUUAGUGGUUAGAACAUUGGCGUGUAAAGCCAAAGGUCCAGGGUUCGAUUCCUGGCGAGA
rnacentral:tRNA from 1 species